UCCUUCAUCUCAGAAGGCCCUGCAGGGGCGUGAUUAAGCUUAUUCACCGCAGAGAAACCAGCCAUGAGCUUGGAAUUUAACAGAUGUGCGGGACCACAGUUAUUCCAACAAACUGUUCUACAUCUGCCUCCCUCAAGAUGCCCUGAAGCACCAUUGAAAAAGGACCAACCGACCAGGAGGAAGAUCAGCGGACGGCUUGAUUCAGUUCUAAAGGACAGGAAUAACAGUGCUUCUCUCUUCCCCUGUGAACGUAUUUCAAUGUCUGAUUGACGAUAACAAUGUGUGCAUUUUUUCUUAGAUGGCAGGGAGA
rnacentral:lncRNA from 1 species